rnacentral:tRNA from 1 species
UGGCUUAGUUGGUAAAGAAUCUGCCUGCAAUGCAGGAGACCUGGGUUCAAUCCCUG